rnacentral:rRNA from 1 species
UGUUCGAAAGGGAAACAGCCCAGACCACCAGCUAAGGUCCCAAAAUAUAUGUUAAGUGGAAAAGGAUGUGGCGUUGCCCAGACAACUAGGAUGUUGGCUUAGAAGCAGCCAUCAUUUAAAGAGUGCGUAAUAGCUCACUAGUCGAGUGACACUGCGCCGAAAAUGUACCGGGGCUAAACAUAUUACCGAAGCUGUGGAUUGUCCUUUGGACAAUGGUAGGAGAGCGUUCUAAGGGCGUUGAAGCAUGAUCGCAAGGACAUGUGGAGCGCUUAGAAGUGAGAAUGCCGGUGUGAGUAGCGAAAGACGGGUGAGAAUCCCGUCCACCGAUUGACUAAGGUUUCCAGAGGAAGGCUCGUCCGCUCUGGGUUAGUCGGGUCCUAAGCUGAGGCCGACAGGCGUAGGCGAUGGAUAACAGGUUGAUAUUCCUGUACCACCUAUAAUCGUUUUAAUCGAUGGGGGGACGCAGUAGGAUAGGCGAAGCGUGCGAUUGGAUUGCACGUCUAAGCAGUAAGGCUGAGUAUUAGGCAAAUCCGGUACUCGUUAAGGCUGAGCUGUGAUGGGGAGAAGACAUUGUGUCUUCGAGUCGUUGAUUUCACACUGCCGAGAAAAGCCUCUAGAUAGAAAAUAGGUGCCCGUACCGCAAACCGACACAGGUAGUCAAGAUGAGAAUUCUAAGGUGAGCGAGCGAACUCUCGUUAAGGAACUCGGCAAAAUGACCCCGUAACUUCGGGAGAAGGGGUGCUCUUUAGGGUUAACGCCCAGAAGAGCCGCAGUGAAUAGGCCCAAGCGACUGUUUAUCAAAAACACAGGUCUCUGCUAAACCGUAAGGUGAUGUAUAGGGGCUGACGCCUGCCCGGUGCUGGAAGGUUAAGAGGAGUGGUUAGCUUCUGCGAAGCUACGAAUCGAAGCCCCAGUAAACGGCGGCCGUAACUAUAACGGUCCUAAGGUAGCGAAAUUCCUUGUCGGGUAAGUUCCGACCCGCACGAAAGGCGUAACGAUUUGGGCACUGUCUCAACGAGAGACUCGGUGAAAUCAUAGUACCUGUGAAGAUGCAGGUUACCCGCGACAGGACGGAAAGACCCCGUGGAGCUUUACUGUAGCCUGAUAUUGAAAUUCGGCACAGCUUGUACAGGAUAGGUAGGAGCCUUUGAAACGUGAGCGCUAGCUUACGUGGAGGCGCUGGUGGGAUACUACCCUAGCUGUGUUGGCUUUCUAACCCGCACCACUUAUCGUGGUGGGAGACAGUGUCAGGCGGGCAGUUUGACUGGGGCGGUCGCCUCCUAAAAGG